rnacentral:rRNA from 1 species
UACAGAGGGGGCGAGCGUUGUUCGGAAUUACUGGGCGUAAAGGGCGCGUAGGCGGCCUGCUAAGUCAUACGUGAAAUCCCUCGGCUUAACCGGGGAACUGCGUCCGAUACUGGAUGGCUUGAGUGUGGGAGAGGGAUGCGGAAUUCCAGGUGUAGCGGUGAAAUGCGUAGAUAUCUGGAGGAACACCGGUGGCGAAGGCGGCAUCCUGGACCACGACUGACGCUGAUGAGCGAAAGCCAGGGGAGCAAACGGG